rnacentral:rRNA from 1 species
AGUGAACGCUGGCGGUAGGCCUAACACAUGCAAGUCGAACGGCAGCACAGUAAGAGCUUGCUCUUACGGGUGGCGAGUGGCGGACGGGUGAGGAAUACAUCGGAAUCUACUUUUUCGUGGGGGAUAACGUAGGGAAACUUACGCUAAUACCGCAUACGACCUACGGGUGAAAGCAGGGGAUCUUCGGACCUUGCGCGAUUGAAUUAGCCGAUGUCGGAUUAGCUAGUUGGCGGGGUAAAGGCCCACCAAGGCGACGAUCCGUAGCUGGUCUGAGAGGAUGAUAAGCCGCACUGGAACUGGGACACGGUCCAGACUCCUAAGGGAGGCAGCAGUGGGGAAUAUUGGACAAUGGGCGCAAGCCUGAUCCAGCCAUACCGCGUGGGUGAAGAAGGCCUUCGGGUUGUAAAGCCCUUUUGUUGGGAAAGAAAAGCAGCAGGUUAAUACCCCGCUGUUCUGACGGUACCCAAAGAAUAAGCACCGGCUAACUUCGUG